AGAGUUUGAUCAUGGCUCAGAACGAACGCUGGCGGCAGGCUUAACACAUGCAAGUCGAGCGCUGUAGCAAUACAGAGCGGCGCACGGGUGAGUAACACGUGGGAACAUGCCUUUCGGUUCGGAAUAACUCAGGGAAACUUGUGCUAAUACCGGAUACGCCCUUACGGGGAAAGAUUUAUUGCCGAAAGAGUGGCCCGCGUUGGAUUAGCUAGUUGGCGGGGUAAAAGCCCACCAAGGCGACGAUCCAUAGCUGGUCUGAGAGGACGACCAGCCACACUGGGACUGAGACACGGCCCAGACUCCUACGGGAGGCAGCAGUGGGGAAUCUUGGACAAUGGGGGAAACCCUGAUCCAGCCAUGCCGCGUGAGUGAUGAAGGCCCUAGGGUUGUAAAACUCUUUCGGCGGGGACGAUAAUGACGGUACCCGCAGAAGAAGCUCCGGCUAACUUCGUGCCAGCAGCCGCGGUAAUACGAAGGGGGCUAGCGUUGUUCGGAAUUACUGGGCGUAAAGCGCGCGCAGGCGGUCCUUCCAGUCAGAGGUGAAAGCCCAGAGCUCAACUCUGGAACUGCCUUUGAAACUAGAGGACUUGGGUACGGGAGAGGUGAGUGGAAUUCCGAGUGUAGAGGUGAAAUUCGUAGAUAUUCGGAAGAACACCAGUGGCGAAGGCGGCUCACUGGCCCGUUACCGACGCUCAGGCGCGACAGCGUGGGGAGCAAACAGGAUUAGAUACCCUAGUAGUCC
rnacentral:rRNA from 1 species